rnacentral:rRNA from 1 species
UACGAAGGGGGCUAGCGUUGCUCGGAAUUACUGGGCGUAAAGGGCGCGUAGGCGGAUAGUUUAGUCAGAGGUGAAGGCCCAGGGCUCAACCUUGGAAUUGCCUUUGAUACUGGCUAUCUUGAGUUCGGGAGAGGUGAGUGGAAUGCCGAGUGUAGAGGUGAAAUUCGUAGAUAUUCGGCGGAACACCAGUGGCGAAGGCGACUCACUGGCCCGAUACUGACGCUGAGGCGCGAAAGCGUGGGGAGCAAACAGG